rnacentral:rRNA from 1 species
AUUGAACGCUGGCGGCAUGCUUUACACAUGCAAGUCGGACGGCAGCACAGUGAAGCUUGCUUCUUGGGUGGCGAGUGGCGGACGGGUGAGUAAUAUAUCGGCACGUACCGACUAAUGGGGGAUAACUAAUCGAAAGAUUAGCUAAUACCGCAUAUUCCCUGAGGAGGAAAGCAGGGGACCUUCGGGCCGUACGUUAUUCGAGCGGCCGAUUUCUGAUUAGCUAGUUGGUGGGGUAAAGGCCUACCAGGGCGACGAUCAGUAGCGGGUCUGAGAGGAUGAUCCGCCACCCUGGGACUGGGCCACGGCCCAGGCUCCUACGGGAGGCAGCAGUGGGGAAUUUUGGCCAGUGGGGGCAAGCCUUACCCAGCCGUCCCGCGUGUCUGAAGAAGGCCUUGGGGUUGUAAAGGACGUUUUUCGGGGAAAAAAAGGCUGUUGCUAAUACCGACAGCUGGUGACGGUACCUGAAGAAUAAGCACCGGCUAACUACGUG